rnacentral:rRNA from 1 species
UACGUAGGGCGCAAGCGUUGUCCGGAAUCAUUGGGCGUAAAGCGCGCGUAGGUGGCUCUGUAAGUCCGUUGUGAAAGUCAAAGGCUCAACCUUUGAAAGCCGAUGGAUACUGCAGAGCUAGAGUACGGAAGAGGCGAGUGGAAUUCCUGGUGUAGCGGUGGAAUGCGCAGAUAUCAGGAGGAACACCAAUAGCGAAGGCAGCUCGCUGGGACGUUACUGACACUGAGGCGCGAAAGCGUGGGGAGCGAACAGG